AAAACGGAGAGUUUGAUCCUGGCUCAGGAUGAACGCUGGCGGCGUGCCUAACACAUGCAAGUCGAACGGUCUCUUCGGAGAUAGUGGCGGACGGGUGAGUAACGCGUGAGAAUCUACCUUUAGGUUCGGGACAACAGUUGGAAACGGCUGCUAAUACCGAAUGUGUCGCAAGAUGAAAGUUUUAAUGCCUGAAGAUGAGCUCGCGUCUGAUUAGCUAGUUGGUGGGGUAAAGGCUUACCAAGGCGACGAUCAGUAGCUGGUCUGAGAGGAUGAUCAGCCACACUGGGACUGAGACACGGCCCAGACUCCUACGGGAGGCAGCAGUGGGGAAUUUUCCGCAAUGGGCGAAAGCCUGACGGAGCAACGCCGCGUGAGGGAGGAAGGCUCUUGGGUUGUAAACC
rnacentral:rRNA from 1 species